rnacentral:rRNA from 1 species
UAAGGUGGGAUAGAUGAUUGGGGUGAAGUCGUAACAAGGUAGCCGUAUCGGAAGGUGCGGCUGGAUCACCUCCUUUCUAAGGAUAAGGAACUGCGCAUUGGUCUUGUUUAGUCUUGAGAGGUCUUGUGGGGCCUUAGCUCAGCUGGGAGAGCGCCUGCUUUGCACGCAGGAGGUCAGCGGUUCGAUCCCGCUAGGCUCCAUUGGUGAGAGAUCANAGGAGGAAGACGCAGUGAACUGAAACAUCUAAGUAGCUGCAGGAAGAGAAAGCAAAAGCGAUUGCCUUAGUAGCGGCGAGCGAAACGGCAGGAGGGCAAACCGAAGAGUUUACUCUUCGGGGUUGUAGGACUGCAAUGUGGACUCAAAGAUUAUAGAAGAAUGAUUUGGGAAGAUCAGCCAAAGAGAGUAAUAGCCUCGUAUUUAAAAUAGUCUUUGUACCUAGCAGUAUCCUGAGUACGGCGGGACACGUGAAAUCCCGUCGGAAUCUGGGAGGACCAUCUCCCAACCCUAAAUACUCCCUAGUGACCGAUAGUGAACCAGUACCGUGAGGGAAAGGUGAAAAGCACCCCGGGAGGGGAGUGAAAUAGAACCUGAAACCGUGUGCCUACAACAAGUUCGAGCCCGUUAAUGGGUGAGAGCGUGCCUUUUGUAGAAUGAACCGGCGAGUUACGUUAUGAUGCGAGGUUAAGUUGAAGAGACGGAGCCGUAGGGAAACCGAGUCUGAAUAGGGCGCCUUAGUAUCAUGACGUAGACCCGAAACCAUGUGACCUACCCAUGAGCAGGUUGAAGGUGCGGUAAGACGCACUGGAGGACCGAACCAGGGCACGUUGAAAAGUGCUUGGAUGACUUGUGGGUAGCGGAGAAAUUCCAAACGAACUUGGAGAUAGCUGGUUCUCUCCGAAAUAGCUUUAGGGCUAGCGUCGACAUUAGAGAUUCUUGGAGGUAGAGCACUGUUUGGGUGAGGGGUCCAUCCCGGAUUACCAAUCUCAGAUAAACUCCGAAUGCCAAUGAAUUAUGGUCGGCAGUCAGACUGCGAGUGCUAAGAUCCGUAGUCGAAAGGGAAACAGCCCAGACCACCAGCUAAGGUCCCAAAAUAAUUGUUAAGUGGAAAAGGAUGUGGGGUUGCACAGACAACUAGGAUGUUAGCUUAGAAGCAGCUAUUCAUUCAAAGAGUGCGUAAUAGCUCACUAGUCGAGUGACCCUGCGCCGAAAAUGUACCGGGGCUAAAACAAUUUACCGAAGCUGUGGAUACCUUUAUAGGUAUGGUAGGAGAGCGUUCUAUGUGUGAUGAAGGUAUACCGUGAGGAGUGCUGGAACGCAUAGAAGUGAGAAUGCCGGUAUGAGUAGCGAAAGACAGGUGAGAAUCCUGUCCACCGUAAGACUAAGGUUUCCAGGGGAAGGCUCGUCCGCCCUGGGUUAGUCGGGACCUAAGGAGAGACCGAAAGGUGUAUCCGAUGGACAACAGGUUGAUAUUCCUGUACUAGAGUAUGUAGUGAUGGAGGGACGCAGUAGGCUAACUAAAGCAGACGAUUGGAAGAGUCUGUCUAAGCAGUGAGGUGUGAAUUGAGUCAAAUGCUUAAUUCUAUAACAUUGAGCUGUGAUGGGGAGCGAAGUUUAGUAGCGAAGUUAGUGACGUCACACUGCCAAGAAAAGCUUCUAGCGUUUAAACAUACUCUACCCGUACCGCAAACCGACACAGGUAGUCGAGGCGAGUAGCCUCAGGUGAGCGAGAGAACUCUCGUUAAGGAACUCGGCAAAAUGACCCCGUAACUUCGGGAGAAGGGGUGCUGACUUAAAGUCAGCCGCAGUGAAUAGGCCCAAGCAACUGUUUAUCAAAAACACAGCUCUCUGCUAAAUCGUAAGAUGAUGUAUAGGGGGUGACGCCUGCCCGGUGCUGGAAGGUUAAGAGGAGUGCUUAGCGUAAGCGAAGGUAUGAAUUGAAGCCCCAGUAAACGGCGGCCGUAACUAUAACGGUCCUAAGGUAGCGAAAUUCCUUGUCGGGUAAGUUCCGACCCGCACGAAAGGCGUAAUGAUUUGGGCACUGUCUCAACGAGAGACUCGGUGAAAUUUUAGUACCUGUGAAGAUGCAGGUUACCCGCGACAGGACGGAAAGACCCCAUGGAGCUUUACUGCAGUUUGAUAUUGAGUGUCUGUACCACAUGUACAGGAUAGGUAGGAGUCUAAGAGAUCGGGACGCCAGUUUCGAAGGAGACGCUGUUGGGAUACUACCCUUGUGUUAUGGCCACUCUAACCCAGAUAGGUGAUCCCUAUCGGAGACAGUGUCUGACGGGCAGUUUGACUGGGGCGGUCGCCUCCUAAAAGGUAACGGAGGCGCCCAAAGGUUCCCUCAGAAUGGUUGGAAAUCAUUCGCAGAGUGUAAAGGUAUAAGGGAGCUUGACUGCGAGAGCUACAACUCGAGCAGGGACGAAAGUCGGGCUUAGUGAUCCGGUGGUUCCGUAUGGAAGGGCCAUCGCUCAACGGAUAAAAGCUACCCUGGGGAUAACAGGCUUAUCUCCCCCAAGAGUUCACAUCGACGGGGAGGUUUGGCACCUCGAUGUCGGCUCGUCGCAUCCUGGGGCUGUAGUCGGUCCCAAGGGUUGGGCUGUUCGCCCAUUAAAGCGGCACGCGAGCUGGGUUCAGAACGUCGUGAGACAGUUCGGUCCCUAUCCGUCGCGGGCGUAGGAAAUUUGAGAGGAUCUGCUCCUAGUACGAGAGGACCAGAGUGGACUUACCGCUGGUGUACCAGUUGUCUUGCCAAAGGCAUCGCUGGGUAGCUAUGUAGGGAAGGGAUAAACGCUGAAAGCAUCUAAGUGUGAAACCCACCUCAAGAUGAGAUUUCCCAUGAUUAUAUAUCAGUAAGAGCCCUGAGAGAUGAUCAGGUAGAUAGGUUAGAAGUGGAAGUGUGGCGACACAUGUAGCGGACUAAUACUAAUAGCUCGAGGACUUAUCCAA